AGAGUUUGAUCAUGGCUCAGAUUGAACGCUGGCGGCAUGCUUUACACAUGCAAGUCGGACGGCAGCACAGAGAAGCUUGCUUCUUGGGUGGCGAGUGGCGAACGGGUGAGUAACGCAUCGGAACGUACCGAGUAGUGGGGGAUAACUGUCCGAAAGGAUGGCUAAUACCGCAUACGCUUUGAGAAGGAAAGCGGGGGAUCUUCGGACCUCGCGCUAUUCGAGCGGCCGAUGUCUGAUUAGCUAGUUGGUGGGGUAAAGGCCUACCAAGGCGACGAUCAGUAGCGGGUCUGAGAGGAUGAUCCGCCACACUGGGACUGAGACACGGCCCAGACUCCUACGGGAGGCAGCAGUGGGGAAUUUUGGACAAUGGGCGCAAGCCUGAUCCAGCCAUGCCGCGUGUCUGAAGAAGGCCUUCGGGUUGUAAAGGACUUUUGUCAGGGAAGAAAAGCUUUGGGUUAAUACCCUGGAGUGAUGACGGUACCUAAAGAAUAAGCACCGGCUAACUACGUGCCAGCAGCCGCGGUAAUACGUAGGGUGCGAGCGUUAAUCGGAAUUACUGGGCGUAAAGCGAGCGCAGACGGUUUGUUAAGCAGGAUGUGAAAUCCCCGGGCUCAACCUGGGAACUGCGUUCUGAACUGGCAGGCUAGAGUAUGUCAGAGGGGGGUAGAAUUCCACGUGUAGCAGUGAAAUGCGUAGAGAUGUGGAGGAAUACCGAUGGCGAAGGCAGCCCCCUGGGAUAAUACUGACGUUCAUGCUCGAAAGCGUGGGUAGCAAACAGGAUUAGAUACCCUGGUAGUCCACGCCCUAAACGAUGUCAAUUAGCUGUUGGGGUGCUUGACACCUUAGUAGCGUAGCUAACG
rnacentral:rRNA from 1 species